ensembl:lncRNA
AACACGUCAGUCUGCUCUCCCAAAAGGCACUCCCUGUUAUUUUUAUGCAGGAACGUCAUUAUCUUUGGUAUUGUUUUGUAAAUAGUCCCGGAUUUCAUAAUGAACAUAAACUCCUCUUUCGUCACGAGACAGUCAGAGAGAGCUGCUGAAAAACAGCACACAGAGCUGAUAUGACACUGGCCAGUGUUUAAACUAGUCAGGUUUAAAACACAGUUAUUCUGUUCUUCCUGGAAAAAGCUUAAUCAUUUGGAAAUUUAUAAUAGUUUUAUUUAGCUUUGAAUGAGCAGAAGUGGAUAAAAUGCCGGCUGGGACAUCUGCGUCUCUCUGCCAGAUUUUACUGUCUGUCUGCCUCCUGUUUGCCUCUACAGAUGGGAAAAUUAUCAGAGCUGAGCCUGGACAGGACGUCACUCUGCCAUGUCAAACUCCAAACAUCAGCGUGCCCAUCAGAUCUGUGGAGUGGUUCAGACUUGACCUGCAGGAAGGACAUGUCCUUACAUACCGGGGUGAGCAGUUUAUUUCAUUGAACCAGCUUCCAUCGUUUGUGAACCGGGUGGAUCUGAAGGACAGACGGACGAAGGACGGAGACGUGUCUUUGAUUCUGAAGGAUGUGACGAGUGACGACACUGGAACAUUUCAGUGUUACGUCGUCCAGAGAGGAACAAAUGGCAGAAAAAGCAUUUUUGAAUAUAUCAGCACCGUCUACCUGAGAGUUGUUCCUCCAGGUCAGACAGGAGGACACAGGAAACGUGAAGGGAACGAGGAUGUAUCCUCUGGAUUGGACUUUUGUUUAACAGUUAGUGUUAUACUUGUUACACUAGCUCUUGCUUUUUUUAUGACCUUGACAAUACCCAAAACACAGGAGAAGAAGAUUUGAUUCAGCCAUCAGAUGACUCGACAGGUGAGCCUUAAGUCACCUACCCACUAAACAUUGGACAUCGGAUAGACGUCCAUAUUAUGUCUAUAUUGGGUCCAUUGGCACAUGACCAAUUCUGGACAUCUAUAUAUCCAAACUAGGUCCACAACUUGAACAUUAAAACACUAGAUUUCAGUAGACAUCGAAAAAAAAGACCUCACCUGGUGUUAAAUGGCAGAUAAAAGUCACUCCGAGGUCAAUUUGCUCAGUGGGUCGCUAGCAGCAGUGAGUUGUAGAUGUCUAACAGAUCUUGAAUUUAUUUAGUGUUUCUUCAGAAACAUUAUUAAAGAGAUUAAAAAAUAAAUAAAUGAAAUUAAGUGUUUUCUUUUCCAAGAUUGUUUCGCUGUUAAUAAGCAGUAAUUUCAAUCAAAGAUGGAUGUAAUCAAGUCUUCAUAGAGCAGCCAGUCCCAAAUGACUGCUACAAUCCAUUUUCACCAAAAGUUAUUUUUUAUUUCCAGAAUUAUUUCUAUCAUUAUGUUUUCAUUUAUCAAUUUGAUAAUUUACUUUUUUGGGAAGCAGUGUGUGAAACCUAAAAAUGUAUGAUCACAUACAUCAUGUUGAAACAGGAUUUCUACAUGAUCUAGUUCUCAUUUGUUUUGUUUCUACGCUGUACAUACAGCCUGGUAUAUAUUUAUUUUAGGAGUGUUGGGAUUAAAUAAUUUGCAGUGCCUCAAUAAUGCUAUGCUUUUAUUAAUAAGUGUUAUAAAGUUAUAUAGAGUAGUAUUAAGUGGACACAGCCCUGAAAAAUAAAGGUAUGACACCAUGUGUCCUUGGGGAGUAGAAAGCUGCAGACUCUCGCCCAUGCAUGCCUGGGAAAAUGUAGAUAAGAGUGGAAAGUUACUGAGACACUGUUGUUUAGACUAGAAUGAGAGAGCUUCUGUAAUAAAACUGUUAGUGUCAUGCAGGAUGCAUUUCCCUUCUAGAAGUAAUGUGAAAGAGAAAUAAAGAGUUAAAUGGUCUCAGUGUAGCACUGAGCAGUGUUUUGUCUUCCAUCGGAUGCCUCUGAGGAAUCAAAAGAACUCGGUUAAGUGUUGAUAUUUAUAUUUACAGGAGAUGGUGGAACAUGUUUGGUUGUCACUGUCAGACGUUGUGUAUUGUUGCAUGUGUUCACAGAUAAAGAGAGUUUACAAAGUGAAUAAUAAGCAGGUUAAUCAGUGUUAGUGCGACUGCUCAGAUAUAUUAUUGAAGCUGCAGAGCAGGAGGAUUUAGUUGUAAGUUACACUGUAUGUAAAAGGGACCAACAUACAGUCAUUAUUUAGUAAAUUUGUACCUAAACAAACAAGAUAACCAGAUGGGUUAAAAUAUCUGAACCUGAGUUAACGUUGUGUUUUUAUGUGACAACAAGAUGACGUGUACAUGGACAGAAAAAGAUGGUGAAAUUCUGUUUAAUAAACAAACGAGGAAGAGCUUGCAGACUGAACAC